UACAGGGGGGGCAAGCGUUGCUCGGAAUCACUGGGCGUAAAGGGCGCGUAGGCGGGAUGGCAAGUCGGUCGUGAAAUCCUUCGGCUCAACCGAAGAACGUCGGCCGAUACUGCCGUUCUUGAGGGAUGCAGAGGAGAUUGGAAUUCCCGGUGUAGAGGUGAAAUUCGUAGAUAUCGGGAGGAACACCAGUGGCGAAGGCGGCGAUCUGGGCAGACACUGACGCUGAGGUGCGAAAGCGUGGGGAGCAAACAGG
rnacentral:rRNA from 1 species